AUCCAUCAUUUUGACGUAUGCGCCCUGGGUCAAUACGCAGCCAACCGAUUGGCCGACGUUCAUCACGUGCUAUGCUAAUUUCCAGUGCUGGGCGGAGCGACGGUACAGUUAAACGACAACCCCAAAGAAAAAUUAUUUCCAUCCAAUUCACCCAGAAAUUAAUGAUCAUGAGUUCGUUUUUGAUGAACUCUCCGUCUUGUGUGGAUCCUAAGUUUCCACCAAGUGAGGAGUAUUCGCAAGGUAACUAUAUACCGACACACGGUGGUGACUAUUACGCUCCCCAACCGCAUCCUUACGUCUAUGCGGUCAACCCACCGCCGCCUCAUCCCGCUGUUACGUACGGACCUGUGGAAAACGGUGGAGGUCCGUGUUAUCCCGAUCACGGCGGCUCUCCCCUCUACUACCAGCAUUCCUGCAGCAUGACACCGAGUAUCGGAAGCCGGGUCGCAAGACCGACACCGGACCACGUUACGUCCAGCCACAGUCCCGUUACGAUCCUUCCUCCCGGUCCAACUCGCAGAUCGCCGGUAUCUUCGCCUCCACCGGGCGUCGUUGGGCUCAGCCGGGUCCAGCAAUCGCAGCAGCCACAGCAGAAUCAAGCCCAACAACCACCUCAACUUAGUCAACAGCCGUCACAACUCCAUCAAAGUGCAGCGAGUCAGCCCGAUACGGGAAAUCCCGACUGUGCCGUUUCUGGCGGUGGCCAGCCCGUCAUCUAUCCCUGGAUGAAGAAAGCCCACGUGGGUACAGCUGCAAAUGGAAACUUUACUGGAAUGGAACCUAAAAGACAGAGGACAGCGUACACUAGACAUCAAAUUUUAGAACUUGAAAAGGAAUUCCACUUCAACCGUUACCUGACGCGGAGGAGAAGAAUCGAAAUAGCUCAUUCCCUGUGUCUCAGUGAAAGGCAGAUAAAAAUAUGGUUUCAAAAUAGGAGAAUGAAAUGGAAAAAAGACAACAAAUUACCGAACACGAAAAAUGUUAAAAAGAAUCCAAAUAGAAAUCAGAAUUUAGCUGCUAUCAAUAAUCGUAAUCAACAGAAUCAACAGCGACAUCAAGCACCACCACAGGCCCAACAGCAACCUCCAUCUACAUUGCCGCCACCUCAUCAUCCACCAACACAUGAUCCAAAAGACGACUAUGGUCUUACAGAGCUAUGAUGUGUAUUACUCAACAUUCCAACUCAGUUACAAGUUCUCAGAAUGCGAAGUAUAUGGGACAUGGGAGGGGGCAUGAGUACCCUUCUCAACUCUCCCACAAAACUCCCGCCCCCUGCAAUAUAUCUUCGCAGUGUACUGUACUCAGGAGCAAAGUGCAGAAGCUGAAUAGUUUGUUGCUGUGCAUGUGACGCCGUCAGGAGAUUGUAGUCGCUAGAAUAUAACGCUAAGGGAUUUUACACGAUGAAUACCAGGCGGAACCACAGGACACAGUCGUAGCAAAGGCUCAGACUUUGCUGACUUAACUUUGGCUAAAAGAUCUAAAUUUCGAAAAUAAUAUUGAUUUCAAAUUGUUCUUUUGUAAAAAAUCUACGAGAAAAUUGUUUAUUUAAAAGAGGUUUGUAAUGUGGAGAAAAUGCAAAGCGGUCAGCAUAGAAGAACCUAAGAUUCUACCCUUGUCGUCCAAUAACUGCUCCUGGAGUAUAUAAAUAUUACAUCUAGUAAGCUCGUUUUACAGGUAUGUUGCUCUUUAAAUUCUUUUAAUUCUUUAUAAUAUAUGUAAAAUUUUAUACUGUUUUUUUGAAUUUUACAUUUAAUUUUAUCUUUUUUUCUUUAACGGUUUAUUUAUAUCUAACCACAAUUUUUUUAUACAUAAAAUGUAUAUUUAAAAGGGGGGAGAAUCUUUAAGGAUAUUCAGAAACACGCUGCGAAUUUUUCAUUUAAGUACGGAUCUAAAUUUAAAUGAAAGGAUCAUAACCACGCUUUUUAAAAUGAAUGAUUUGAUACUUUCUUUAGAAACUUUGUCAAAAAUAAAUUUACUUUAAAUUGUUUUUAUUUCUUUUUUGUUUAGAAAUGAAAUAUGCCAAUGCUAAUGAUAAAAUAAUCGAAGUUUAUUUAUUAUUUUAAAUUUAUUCAAAAAUAUGUGACAUUUAAAUUUGAUUUAGAUAGCAUUAUUGAAGGAAUUUAUAAGAUGAAAAUAUAUUUAGGGAUCAACAUCUUACUUGUACUAAAGGAUAUUUACUAAAAAACACUUAUCAGAGUAGCUUAAAUAGAUUCAUAUUUUUAACAUUUUCAAGGAAAAAUCACGGCCAAAAUUGUUUUUCUAUCGCACUUUAAGCUAUGUAAAUGUUCUUUCCCUUAAAAGGAUGUAUGAGAAUAGGAAGCCCUAUUGGUCAAACCGCUUAAAAUCGGAUUGAGUGGACACAACAUGCAUCACAGAAUUUUCCAAUAUGUGCUUUCCAAAUAUACGACGUUUACUGAAUAUAAAUGGACAUUUUUAUCGCGCGGUUACUGAUCGAUCAUGUUCUCCUCAUACAUUUAACAUCCGCUUGCACUAUUCUACGUAAAGAGGCACCAAAACAAGCGCCCAAGUUUCCCUUCCGGCGACAGUCUCACGAGAAAAGAAAGGAACGGUUUAAAUCUUUUUUAAUUUUAAAGUCAAUAAAUAUUUCAACAUUUUAUAAGCAUAUCUACCUACACGAGUUGACGAUGAUAUAAAAAAGAAGAGAUAAAAAUGUUCUUUAAUUUGUAUGUAUGUAGCUUUUGUAUCACAUAUGCAUGUAUGUACAGUACAUACAUACCGGUUUGUAUGGAUAGAUUUACGUUCGUGUGUUUUUCAAAUAUUCAAUUCUCACACUGACUACCUGACUGUCCGUGUAUAAAUUUCCCCUGGAGGUAUGUAUGUAAUCAAUUUACAUGUACUGUAUAUUUUAUGUACGGUUUUCAGAAUGUAUGGAAUUACGCGAAUUUGUAUAUUGUUGUCAAGGUUGCAAAGGGUUGUGAAAAAAAGAAUUAUUUUCAUUUCUCAUUUCUGUUUUCGUCUAAUGCACAAUUUCUUAGACGCCUAGUGAUCUAUAGUGAUGAAAGGUUAAGGAAAAAAAAA